ACGAAGGGUGCAAGCGUUAAUCGGAAUUACUGGGCGUAAAGCGCGCGUAGGUGGUUCAGUAAGUUGGAAGUGAAAUCCCCGGGCUCAACCUGGGAACUGCUUUCAAAACUGCUGAGCUAGAGUACGGUAGAGGGUGGUGGAAUUUCCUGUGUAGCGGUGAAAUGCGUAGAUAUAGGAAGGAACACCAGUGGCGAAGGCGACCACCUGGACUGAUACUGACACUGAGGUGCGAAAGCGUGGGGAGCAAACAGG
rnacentral:rRNA from 1 species